ensembl:snRNA U5 U5 spliceosomal RNA
UGCGCAGCGGUCACGACAGAACGCAUCAAUCUUUCGCCUUUUACUAAAGAUUGCCGUGUCGUUUCCGCAAAUGAUGCGCGUCUAAUAAUUUUUGGGGCGCCUCGGCGCCA